rnacentral:rRNA from 1 species
AUGAGGGCGCGGGCCGCACCGGCUAGGGACGCGAGCAGGGCGACGAGGGAGGUGCCUUCAGCCGUGGAGGAGGCGGGCGUCCAGUUGGUCGCCGCGGAGGAGCAGUCACCUCCGUGUGGGCGGCGGUGCAGCUCGCCUUCGUGCAGGCGGCGCAGGCGGGCAGGGGCACCACGGAUUGGCAGCGGCGGCGCAAUGGCGACGCAGGUGGACGGCAGUGCGCUGGGCUCUACGGUGGCUGCCGACGGCGCCCUGGGCUUGUUCCUGCUGCGGGCCUCUGGAGUAGGAAGAAGCAAAGGGGUAAUUAGCAGGAGAUUUAAAAUCCUAAGGGUUUAUUUGCAAAAAUCAUAA